rnacentral:rRNA from 1 species
GAUGAACGCUGGCGGCGUGCCUAAUACAUGCAAGUCGAGCGAACAGACGAGGAGCUUGCUCCUCUGACGUUAGCGGCGGACGGGUGUGUAACACGUGGAUAACCUACCUAUCAUACUGGGAUAACUUCGGGACACCGGAGCUAAUACCGGAUAAUAUACUGAACCGCAUGGUUCAAUAGUGAAAGACGGUUUUGCUGUCACUUAUAGAUGGUUCCGCGCCGCAUUAGCUAGUUGGUAAGGUAACGGCUUACCAAGGCAACCAUGCGUAGCCGACCGGAGAGGGGGAUCGGCCGCACGGGAACGUGAACACGGACCCGGCGCCUGCGGGAGGGAGCAGUAGGGAAUCGUACGCAAUGGGCGAAAGCCUGGCGGAGCAGCGCCGCGUGAGUGAUGGAGGUCUUCGGAUCGUGAAGCUCUGUUAUUAGUGAAGAACAAAUGUGUAAGUAACUAUACACGUCUUGACGGUACCUAGUCAGAAAGCAACGGCUAACUACGUG